AUUGAACGCUGGCGGCAUGCCUUACACAUGCAAGUCGAACGGCAGCAUGGGUGCUUGCACCUGAUGGCGAGUGGCGAACGGGUGAGUAAUGCAUCGGAACGUACCCGGAAGUGGGGGAUAACGUAGCGAAAGUUACGCUAAUACCGCAUAUUCUGUGAGCAGGAAAGCGGGGGAUCGCAAGACCUCGCGCUUCCGGAGCGGCCGAUGUCGGAUUAGCUAGUUGGCGGGGUAAAGGCCCACCAAGGCAACGAUCCGUAGCGGGUCUGAGAGGAUGACCAGCCACACUGGGACUGAGACACGGCCCAGACUCCUACGGGAGGCAGCAGUGGGGAAUAGUUGGACAAUGGGCGCAAGCCUGAUCCAGCAAUGCCGCGUGUGUGAAGAAGGCCUGCGGGUUGUAAAGCACUUUCAGUGGGGAAGAACGGGCCAAGGUUAAUACCCCUGGCUUCUGACGUUACCCACAGAAGAAGCACCGGCUAACUCCGUGCC
rnacentral:rRNA from 1 species